GACGAACGCUGGCGGCGCGCUUAACACAUGCAAGUCGAACGGAAAGGCCUGCUUUCCUUUGUGGAUUGCGGGUACUCGAGUGGCGAACGGGUGAGUAACACGUGAGUGAUCUGCCCCCAACUUGGGUAUAAGCCUGGGAAACUGGGUCUAAUUCCCGAUAGGACUGCAGGGUGGUGCCUGUGGUGGAAAACGAUUUGCUAGUGGUUGGGGAUGAGCUCGCGGCCUAUCAGCUUGUUGGUGGGGUAAUGGCCUACCAAGGCUGCGACGGGUAGCCGGCCUGAGAGGGUGGACGGCCACAUUGGGACUGGGAUACGGCCCAGACGCCUACGGGAGGCAGCAGUGGGGAAUAUUGCACCAUGGGCGGAAGCCUGAUGCAGCGACGCCGCGUGGGGGAUGACGGGCUUCGGGUUGUAAACUCCUUUCGACCGCGAGGAAGCCACCUGGUUGGAAGGGUGGUGACGGUAGUGGUAGAAGAAGCACCGGCUAACUACGUG
rnacentral:rRNA from 1 species